rnacentral:lncRNA from 1 species
AUUUUUGUUGUACACAGGCCACGACAAACGAGUGCCCAACAAAACAGACAGAGAAAAGCAGCAAAGAUUUUUGGUUACUCUCCCUGAAGCCACAAGUUUUUGUUGUAGUUCAUGUUCAUUCCUGACAAAUAAAUAAAAAAGAAAAGGUGAGAAAAAGAAGAGAAGAUUAACCCAAGUAGGAGGCAAGAAAGAGAGCAGAAAAAUGUCAGAGGAGCACGUGAAGAGAAACGAAAAGAAAGGGGGUGAAUAUGAUGAUGAUGAAUGAAAAGAGUGUGUCAGCUUAAGCAGAGGAGAUGAAGGAGGCAAAUAACACAGAAUCCAUAUAGUAGUAUUAUUGUACUGAAAGAGAAAGACAUUGAGGGGAUGAGAAAAGGAAAACUACUAGUUGCCCAAGUCAAGUGGUGAGAGAGAGAAAGAGAUAUAGAUAGAAAGAAAGAAAGUGUGUCACUUUACUUGAAGAAGUGUACUUGAAACUUGAAAUAGUGUCACUGCUGCGUCGGUCUCCUAAACUCCAUUGAAACUGUAGAGGUUUGCUUUGUGGGUUGCUAUUUUUGGAGAGAGACAUUGAGAGUGUGCAGUAUUAGGGGUGUUCGCGGAUUGGAUUGGAUCGGUUUUGAGGAGAAAAAUCAUCCGAUCCGAUCUCAUCGGUUUUAUGAUUUUGUCAUCCAAUGGAUUUUUUACUAAAUUUAAAUCCGAUCCAAUCUAUAGCGGUUUGGAUUGGAUUGGAUUGUUCGGUUUUUGUUUCACUUUUUUUACUUAAAAAUUGUGUUGUAUAAAUUUAAAAAAUAUAUAAUAUAUGAUAAAUACAACGAUACAUAAUUUAUAGCAUUAAUAUAACAUUCAUAAAUUAUAACAUAGCUAACAUAUUUUAAAAUUAUGAUUAUAAUUGUUUACUUUGAUGCAUGUAUAUAGCAAACUUUUAUGCAUGUGUGAUAUAAUCAAUAUAUAUACAAUAAAUAUGUACUAUGUAAGUGUAAAUGGAAUGAUAUAUUGAUAUAUGUAUAACUAAAAGUAUACAUAUUUGUGAAUGUUCGGUUUGGAUUGGAUUGGUUCGGUUUUGGAAAUCAAAUCCGAAAUCCGAUCCGAUCCAAUAAAUAAUUUCGGUUUUUUCAAUUUUCAAUCCGUUCGGUUUUCAGUUUGAUUGGAUUUCGGUUUUUUUGGAUCGGUUUGUCAGUUUUGUUUGGAUUGGUUCGGUUAUGAACACCCCUAGUAUACACCUCAAAGUAGAGGUGGAAAGAAGUGGAGGAGGAGAGAGAUAAGAAGAAAAGAGAAAGAAAGUAAAAAUAUAAUAGAUGAUUUGAUUUAUAGAAAAGAGAGAAAUAAAUAGAAAAUAAAUGUGAAAAAGAUGUGAGAGGUGUGGAUAUAUCAUAACUCGUCAUUUUAAUAAAACCAGAUGAGACUUGAGAGAUUUAUUUUGGUACUUUUUAUUAGAAUAAAACUCAUCACUUUUUAACAAGAAUACACUUUCACAUGACAUGAGAGAAUUGUAGCUAAAAAAGUUGAGCUUAAAUUUCAGCCUCAGAAAGGAACCAUUGGAGAGGCUUUAAAAAGCAUUUUUGUUGUACACAGGCCACGGCAAACGAGUGCCCCACAAAACAGACAGAGAAAAGCAGCAAAGAUUUUUGGUUACUCUCCCUGAAGCCACAAGUUUUUGUUGUAGUUCAUGUUCAUUCCUGACAAAUAAAUAAAAAAGAAAAGGUGAGAAAAAGAAGAGAAGAUUAACCCAAGUAGGAGGCAAGAAAGAGAGCAGAAAAAUGUCAGAGGAGCACGUGAAGAGAAACGAAAAGAAAGGGGGUGAAUAUGAUGAUGAUGAAUGAAAAGAGUGUGUCAGCUUAAGCAGAGGAGAUGAAGGAGGCAAAUAACACAGAAUCCAUAUAGUAGUAUUAUUGUACUGAAAGAGAAAGACAUUGAGGGGAUGAGAAAAGGAAAACUACUAGUUGCCCAAGUCAAGUGGUGAGAGAGAGAAAGAGAUAUAGAUAGAAAGAAAGAAAGUGUGUCACUUUACUUGAAGAAGUGUACUUGAAACUUGAAAUAGUGUCACUGCUGCGUCGGUCUCCUAAACUCCAUUGAAACUGUAGAGGUUUGCUUUGUGGGUU